AUUGCAAUUACUUGAGAUUCAAGUAAACCACAAAGGAUAUCACGUGUGGGGCAGGGAUCUAAAUGUAAAUAAUAAAAAAAAAAUGAGGGAUAGAAGGAAUUAAUAGAUAAAAGAGGGGUACUGUGGAAAAAUCAGAAAAUUAAAUAAAAGGAGACUCAAUGGAUGGGUAAAUUUGAAAAUUACAAGUAAAUGUGGAAGAAAAGAAAUAAUAAAAGGUAGGGGUAGUUUUGGAAAUUCAGGGUUAAAGCUAAAGGGGACGGUUAUCUCACGGAUUGGGGUGAAAGAUGUUGAAGACCUGGAGUUGUCUUCUACAGGCAACGGAAUAGGGUCGACUUCGAAGGAGGCGGCUGGAGCUGGAGUUCAAACCAGAAAGAGGAGGCGGUGGCUGCUGUCGGAAGGGAAAAGAAGUGAAAAGAGGAGGCGGUGGGAUUUUCUGGUUGGGGAAUCGAAGUGAGGAGAAAAGAAAGGGAGGCGAGACACUUCAGGGGUCCGAC